rnacentral:rRNA from 1 species
GAGUUUGAUCCUGGCUCAGAACGAACGCUGGCGGCGUGCCUAACACACGCAAGUCGAACGUGAUCCAGAGCUUGCUCUGGUGAAAGUGGCGCACGGGUGAGUAACGCGUGGAUAACCUACCCUGGUAUCCGGGAUAACAUUCCGAAAGGGGUGCUAAUACCGGAUAAGCCCACGGGCUCUUUGGAGCUUGCGGGAAAAGGUGGCCUCUAUUUAUAAGCUACUGUAUCAGGAUGGGUCCGCGUACCAUUAGCUAGUUGGCGGUGUAACGGACCACCAAGGCGACGAUGGUUAGCUGGUCUGAGAGGAUGAUCAGCCACACUGGAACUGAGACACGGUCCAGACUCCUACGGGAGGCAGCAGUGGGGAAUUUUGCGCAAUGGGGGAAACCCUGACGCAGCAACGCCGCGUGAGUGAUGAAGGCCUUUGGGUCGUAAAGCUCUGUCAGAGGAGAAGAAAUGAUAUAGUGCUAAUACCACUUUAUCUUGACGGUACCCUCAAAGGAAGCACCGGCUAACUCCGUGCCAGCAGCCGCGGUAAUAC